AGAGUUUGAUCCUGGCUCAGGAUGAACGCUAGCUACAGGCUUAACACAUGCAAGUCGAGGGGAAACGAUAUUGGAAGCUUGCUUCCGAUAGGCGUCGACCGGCGCACGGGUGAGUAACGCGUAUCCAACCUGCCCACCACUUGGGGAUAACCUUGCGAAAGUAAGACUAAUACCCAAUGAUAUCUCUAGAAGACAUCUGAAAGAGAUUAAAGACUUAUCGGUGAUGGAUGGGGAUGCGUCUGAUUAGCUUGUUGGCGGGUAACGGCCCACCAAGGCAACGAUCAGUAGGGGCUCUGAGAGGAAGGUCCCCCACAUUGGAACUGAGACACGGUCCAAACUCCUACGGGAGGCAGCA
rnacentral:rRNA from 1 species